GGGAAUCUUGCACAAUGGGGGAAACCCUGAUGCAGCGACGCCGCGUGAACGAUGAAGCCCUUCGGGGUGUAAAGUCCUUUCGACAGGAACGAUAAUGACGGUACCUGGAGAAGAAGCUGCGGCUAACUACGUGCCAGCAGCCGCGGUAAUACGUAGGCAGCGAGCGUUGUUCGGAGUUACUGGGCGUAAAGAGUGCGUAGGCGGCGAGCCAAGUUUGGUGUGAAAUCUCCCGGCUUAACCGGGAGGGUGCGCCGAAAACUGGUUGGCUGGAGUAUGGGAGAGGAAAGCGGAAUUCCUGGUGUAGCGGUGAAAUGCGUAGAUAUCAGGAGGCACACCUGCGGUGUAGACAGCUUUCUGGACCAAAACUGACGCUGAGGCACGAAAGCGUGGGUAGCAAACA
rnacentral:rRNA from 1 species